rnacentral:rRNA from 1 species
UACGUAGGUAGCAAGCGUUGUCCGGAUUUACUGGGUGUAAGGGCGCGUAGGCGGGCUAACAAGUCAGAUGUGAAAUACCGCAGCUUAACUGCGGGGCUGCAUUUGAAACUGUUAGUCUUGAGUAUCGGAGAGGCAGGCGGAAUUCCGUGUGUAGCGGUGAAAUGCGUAGAUAUACGGAGGAACACCAGUGGCGAAGGCGGCCUGCUGGACGACAACUGACGCUGAGGCGCGAAAGCGUGGGGAGCAAACA